GAACGCUGGCGGCAUGCCUUACACAUGCAAGUCGAACGGCAGCACGGGAGCAAUCCUGGUGGCGAGUGGCGAACGGGUGAGUAAUAUAUCGGAACGUGCCCAGUCGUGGGGGAUAACGUAGCGAAAGCUACGCUAAUACCGCAUACGAUCUACGGAUGAAAGCGGGGGAUCGCAAGACCUCGCGCGAUUGGAGCGGCCGAUAUCAGAUUAGGUAGUUGGUGAGGUAAAGGCUCACCAAGCCGACGAUCUGUAGCUGGUCUGAGAGGACGACCAGCCACACUGGGACUGAGACACGGCCCAGACUCCUACGGGAGGCAGCAGUGGGAAUUUGGACAAUGGGCGCAAGCCUGAUCCAGCAAUGCCGCGUGCAGGAUGAAGGCCUUCGGGUUGUAAACUGCUUUUGUACGGAACGAAACGGUGAGCUCUAAUACAGUUUGCUAAUGACGGUACCGUAAGAAUAAGCACCGGCUAACUACGUG
rnacentral:rRNA from 1 species